AUCCAAAUAGUGGCAGUAUCGUAGCCAAUGAUGUUUAUCCGAGGCGCGAUUAUUGCUAAUUGAAAACUUUUCCAAAUAUCCAAAUAAAUCUUGAAAAGGAACAAUAAAUUUGGAGGUCUCACACUUUCUAAGUAUGUUUCAAAACA